rnacentral:pre_miRNA from 10 species
UCUGUCAUCUAUAUAUACCCUGUAGAUCCGAAUUUGUGUUAUAAACGCAGUCACAAAUUCGCUUCUUGGGGACUAUGUAGUUGA